GUAAAUAUGGCGGCGUUCGGUUUGGAGUGACGUAGGUGGCAUCUAUGAAUAGCCUAGUAACAUGUUUCAUUUUGGCAAGACUGCUUGUCCUUUAAUUCAACCCUUUUGACUUGAUAUCUAUCAUUGUCUAGACUUGUCUGACUUCUAAUGGGCGUAGGUUAUAAAAGUGUGUAAAAUCAACCUUGUAUCACAUUCGCCUACUGACAGCUCAUCAUGGCAUCCGCAUCCAAGAGAAUCAAACUGGACGAGGACGACACGUGUGUAACCGGAUACUUACACAACGUGUCCAUAAUUAUAUAAUCAGCAUUUAAAAAACAGAUAUUGCAGAUUGACAACUACCACCAAGUUGCCGUUUUUUGCGUUGAAAAAAGAGAUCUUUUCAUCCGAGCGCAAAAACUGUGAAUCGUCAGUUAAAUUGACUGGAAUUACAAAAUAACCAAAUCGUUCAGGUGAGGGCUUGGACAUAAUAUGUGGAAGAAGAACACGCCUGACGGUGGUCAACGACCUGCAGUUUGACUACAGAGACCCUCCAAAUAAAUCUAAACGGACCGUGGAGGAGGAUAAAAAAUGUCCCAAAAGCAACAUGCAGAAGAGCAGACAGAGUCCAGAUUACAACGAAGAGAACUUUUACUAUCAAUAUAUAUCACAAGAAUACAGGUAGGAGCAACACAAGGUAACAUGCAACAUCGACCGACCAAGACUGAAUGGAACUGAACUGAACUAAAUACACAGAGGAAUUAAGCUAAAUGGGGUGAAAACAGGUGAAACAGAUGAACAA